rnacentral:tRNA from 1 species
GCCGGAGUGGUGAAAUUGGUAGACGCAGUGGACUCAAAAUCCACCGGGCAUUCUGCCCGUGUCGGUUCGAAUCCGACCUCCGGCACCA